rnacentral:rRNA from 1 species
AACGCGUAGUCAACCUAACCUAUGGACGGGAAUAACCUCGGGAAACUGAGUAUAAUGCCCGAUAGAACACUAUACCUGGAAUGGUUUGUGUUCCAAAUGAUUUAUCGCCGUAGGAUGGGACUGCGGCCUAUCAGUUUGUUGGUGAGGUAAUGGCCCACCAAGACUAUUACAGGUACGGGCUCUGAGAGGAGUAGCCCGGAGAUGGGUACUGAGACACGGACCCAGGCCCUAUGGGGCGCAGCAGGCGAGAAAACUUUGCAAUGUGCUAAAGCACGACAAGGUUAAUCCGAGUGGUUUCUGCUAAAGGAACCUUUUGUCAGUCCUAGAAACACUGAUGAAUAAGGGGUGGGCAAGUUCUGGUGUCAGCCGCCGCGGUAAAACCAGCACCUCAAGUGGUCAGGAUGAUUAUUGGGCCUAAAGCAUCCGUAGCCGGCUCUGUAAGUUUUCGGUUAAAUCUGUACGCUCAACGUACAGGCUGCCGGGAAUACUGCAGAGCUAGGGAGUGGGAGAGGUAGACGGUACUCGGUAGGAAGGGGUAAAAUCCUUUGAUCUAUUGAUGACCACCUGUGGCGAAGGCGGUCUACCAGAACACGUCCGACGGUGAGGGAUGAAAGCUGGGGGAGCAAACCGGAUUAGAUACCCGGGUAGUCCCAGCUGUAAACUAUGCAAACUCAGUGAUGCAUUGGCUUGUGGCCAAUGCAGUGCUGCAGGGAAGCCGUUAAGUUUGCCGCCUGGGAAGUACGUACGCAAGUAUGAAACUUAAAGGAAUUGGCGGGGGAGCACCACAAGGGGUGAAGCCUGCGGUUCAAUUGGAGUCAACGCCGGAA